GCUGUCUGGGACUCCGGCCCUGAAGCGGGCAAUGAGGUUUGCACAUACAAGUCCACGAAGAAGGAAAGGCAAAAAUACUCUCUCUACUCUCCAGCCCUCAUCCUCAAGGCUAGUAUAAAACAAGAAAAGGUCAGUUAAAUGUAUUUUCAUCCUUCUUUUAUUUGUUAAAAAUAAUAUGCCUAAAAGUCUGCAGAUGAGCUAAUAUGUCCUUGAAAGGGGGCAUGUUACAUACAGGUCUCUUUAGCAUUUCUAAUUCUGUGAAAGCCACCUUAAAUCUUUUGGGAGACAAAACAGUUUGUUGGAAGAAAACAGCCUCUGAUGUAGCUAUAAAUCGCUAUUCUAUUUUCUUAUGUAUUUAUAAAAUCAUACCAGAAAUAAUGAGUUGUUUUGUCAAUAAUAGAACACUGACAUGAACUUGACCUAACAACUAGCAUAAACUGUCAAUUCAUCUUGCAUUAACAAGAAAAUGAAACAAGAAAUAACUAUUAGAAAGAAAUGACAAAAUUCAAAUUGACUUUGAAAAAAUCUGAUUUUAUUUUCUCAAUCAAAAUGAAGUAUUUCAUGUUAAUUUAGACUGUUUAGCUUUCCACUGAUAUCUCAAGAUACUUUCCAGAUAUUAACAGUACUCAGAACUGUGUAAAAGUUAACCACCAAAACCAUGUUUUAAAGAAAAAAGUUUAAAUGUAAGACUAAUGUCUUGGGGACUUUACUAAAUGUAUUUCUAAAAAAACCCUUCUCAAAUGUAGAAGUAUUGGCAAUUCUAAUUUAAAAAUUUUAAAUUUUUAAUUAUUGGAAAUUUAAGUAGCAAUAGUUUCAAGAGCUAAGAAUCAGAUUGCUUUUUAAAACAGAAUUUUUUUUUUUUCCUGAGGGACUCAUACUUGACAACUCCAGUUAAACAUAAUACUCCACCCAAAUCCCAAAUUUAAAUGCAUUAUGUCACCCUGGAAUAGUAAAAUUAUAAAAUGGUAUUUCUAAAUUAUAAUAUAUAUACAUAAUGCACCAUUUUAACUGUCACAUUUACCAGCAGAAUUAUGAAAUCAAAAACAAAUUCUACAUUCAAGGGACAAACGAUAAAUGCUCUUUCAUUGUUUUAAGAGUCCAUUCCAUUCUUUGUUGUUUUCUACUCCCAUAUUUUAAAAUUAUGACCAAAGGAGCCUGAAGGCCAAGUCAAUCCCAUUUCCCUGAACCCAACUGCCAGUAGGUACGGGCCCUACAUACGCGUCCUUUAACAAGCCCCGUUCUCAAAAGGCUGGGGGUAUUUAUAUAAGAACUUAUUCCAAAGUGACUCUAAGAUCCAUGUUCCCAAGAUCUAGUACGGGCUAUUCAGGGUUCUGAGGCAUGUCCAGCAUGCAGGCAAACUUAUCUGUUCAAAUUGAGGUAAAACAGACAAAAAACACUUAAUAUUAACAGAAGCUACAUAAUUAAAACUAACCUUCUGCUGCUUAUUUAAGCUAAUGAUGUAUUCUUACCAAACAGAGACCCUCAAGUCAAUCAUUUCUUUUGAUUUUAGUUACCACCCCCAAAUUAAGCCUCUUCUUUCAAAGCUAUUAUUAGUUAAAAAAAAGUUUUAAAAUGAAGAAAAAUAUUUUUUCCAGAACUUGUAUUUUGUAAUUAGUGUGAUGCAAUUUCUUUUUAUUUUUCAAACUUAGAAAUAACUCAUGUAUGGUACUAUUUGGUAUUUUUUUCAGAUACCAAGGAAUACCGACAGGAUUCAUAAAUAGGAUUUUCUGACACUGGCAGGAAAGUCUGCUAACGUUUACAAAAUACCAAAGACUCUUCUUUCAAGCUUCAAAGAUGGCUGAGAAUUAACAGUUAUGAUUAGUUUUUCAGUACAAAUAAAAAAAUUAAAUCUUGAUUUUUUUGGCCAACAUUUUAA
rnacentral:lncRNA from 1 species